AUACUAAUCAUAAAAAAUGGUGCUUUGGAUUCCUUCUUCAAAUAUAAAAAAAAAACAAGAAAAAAUAAAAAAAUAAUGAGAAUCCAACGGAUUCACUACACGUGGCCCUCCCUCUCACGUUUUCCCUAACGUCUCUCUCUUCUUUACUCACCACGCGUCCACUACCCUCUUCUCUCUCCAAUCUACUCAAUCUCUGGCUCUCAGAAAAAACAAUAAAAA
rnacentral:lncRNA from 1 species